rnacentral:rRNA from 1 species
AAGUUGUUGCGGUUAAAAGCUCGUAGUUCGAGCUCAGUUCCGGACUGGCCGGGGAGGUCACCGCCCGGUGCUUCCCCGUCAGGCUCCGAACAGCCUUCGUGAGCGGAGGCCAAGCCGGUUCUGCCGGGGUGCUCUUUACCGAGUGUCCCGCGCGGCCGGCCAGUUCACCUUGAAUAAAUGAGAGUGCUCAAAGCAGGCUACUCUCGAAUACAAUGCCCGAAUGUUACCUGCAUGGAAUGAUGGAAGAUGAUCUCGGUUCCAUUUUAUUGGUGGUGGGAGCCCGAGGUAAUGAUAAACAGGGACUGUCGGGGGCAUCCGUACUACGACGCGAGAGGUGAAAUUCAGUGACCGUCGUAGGACGAACAACAGCGAAAGCAUUUGCCAAGAAUGUCUUCGUUGAUCAAGAACGAAAGUUAGAGGAUCGAAGGCGAUCAGAUACCGCCCUAGUUCUAACCCUAAACGAUGCUGACUAGCAAUUCGCCGUCGUUAUUCCCAUGACGUGGCGAGACGCCCCCGGGAAACCUCAAGUCUUUGAGUUCCGGGGGUAGUAUGGUUGCAAAACUGAAACUUAANNNNNNNNNNNNNNNNNNNNNNNNNGGAGUGGAGCCUGCGGCUUAAUUUGACUCAACACGGGAAACCUCACCAGGCCCGGACACCAGAAGGAUUGACAGAUUAAGAGCUCUUUCUCGAUUUGGUGGGUGGUGGUGCAUGGCCGUUCUUAGUUGGUGGAGUGAUUUGUCUGGUUAAUUCCGGUAACGAACGAGACUCUGGCCUACUAAAUAGUCGACGGGCGUUUUGGUGCAUGGGCCCCGUUCGACACAGUCUUCUUAGAGGGAUGAGCAGCGAGUAUAGCUGCAGGAGAUUGAGCAAUAACAGGUCUGUGAUGCCCUUAGAUGUCCUGGGCCGCACGCGCGCUACACUGAAUGGGUUAGCGGGUUGUCCUUCUCCGAGAGGAGCGGGAAAUCGCUUGAAAACCAUUCGUGAUAGGGAUUGGGGCUUGCAAUUGUUUCCCAUGAACGAGGAAUUCCCAGUAAGCGCAAGUCAUCAGCUUGCGUUGAUUAAGUCCCUGCCCUUUGUACACACCGCCCGUCGCUACUACCGAUUGAAUGAUUUAGUGAGGCCUUCGGACUGGCGGUCUUGGACUGGGGCGCCGGCGUUCUCCAGCAAUGGGGUGCCGGCGACCCGCCUAGACGGGCCGGAAAGAUGUCCAAACUUGAUCAUUUAGAGGAAGUAAAAGUCGUAACAAGGUUUCCGUAGGUG